rnacentral:misc_RNA from 1 species
GAUGAAGAACGUAGCGAAAUGUGAUACUUGGUGUGAAUUGCAGAAUCCCGUGAACCAUCGAGUCUUUGAACGCAAGUUGCGCCCGAAGCCAUCAGGUUGAGGGCACGUCUGCCUGGGCGUCACAUAUCGUUGCCCAAUGCCUAUUGCAGUGCAAUAGGAAUUUCUAGGGCGAAUGAUGGCUUCCCGUGAGCGUUGUUGCCUCGCGGUUGGUUGAAAAUCGAGUCCUUGGUAGGGUGUGCCAUGGUAGAUGGUGGUCGAGUUAGAACGAUACCGAUCAUGUGCAUGCUCCCCAAAAUAUGGCCUCUAUGACCCACACGCGUCUUUUGACGCUCAUGACGAGACCUCAGGUCAGGCGGGGCUACCAGCUGAAUUUAAGCAUAUCAAUAAGCGGAGGA